AUGGGUGUUGGCUCGAACAACUCUCGUUGGUCUCAAUCCAAUGAUGCGCAUUUCAAUGAUCAUGAAUUUGAGGUGGACGAGGAUGGUGAGGGUAUCGUCGAUGCGCCGAAAGGAAGAGCGGGAAACUACACCAUGGACAAAGACAUCUUGCUAUGCAAUAUAUGGUUGCAACUGUCGCGGGGUGCCACCAUUGGAGGCUACCAUGGGCGGCAUAGGAGGCAUGGGGGGCCAUGGGCAGCAUUGGUGGCUUCAGAGCUACCAUGGGAGGCAUGACUUUUGCGUCUCUCAUGGGAGGCAUGGGAGCACCUCUGGGUGACAUGGGUGGACGCAUGUCUUUCGGUAUGCCUCACAUGCCUUCGCAUGAUGCCGGUGGAGAUCUUGCCAACGCCUUCCGAGCUCCCCACAAUGAAGAGGAGGAGGAAGAAUCGUCUUCGGAGGAUGAAGAAUCGGAGGAAGAGGAGGACGAAGAUGAGGAUGAGGCAUGGGUUGGUGUGCCAUUUGUUUGUGUGA
rnacentral:rRNA from 1 species